AUUGAACGCUGGCGGCAUGCCUUACACAUGCAAGUCGAACGGUAACAGGUCUUCGGAUGCUGACGAGUGGCGAACGGGUGAGUAAUACAUCGGAGCGUGCCUAGUAGUGGGGAUAACUACUCGAAAGAGUGGCUAAUACCGCAUGAGAUCUACGGAUGAAAGCAGGGGAUCGCAAGACCUUGUGCUACUAGAGCGGCCGAUGGCAGAUUAGGUAGUUGGUGGGAUAAAAGCUUACCAAGCCGACGAUCUGUAGCUGGUCUGAGAGGACGAUCAGCCACACUGGGACUGAGACACGGCCCAGACUCCUACGGGAGGCAGCAGUGGGGAAUUUUGGACAAUGGGCGCAAGCCUGAUCCAGCAAUGCCGCGUGCAGGAUGAAGGCCUUCGGGUUGUAAACUGCUUUUGUACGGAACGAAAAGCCCUGGGUUAAUACCCUGGGGUCAUGACGGUACCGUAGGAAUAAGCACCGGCUAACUACGUGCCAGCCGCCGCCGUAA
rnacentral:rRNA from 1 species